rnacentral:rRNA from 1 species
GACGAAGUGUGCUAACGUUGUUCGGAAUCACUGGGCGUAAAGCGCACGUAGGCGGCUUCUUAAGUCAGGGGUGAAAUCCUGGGGGUCAACCCCAGAACUGCCCUUGAUACUGAGGAGCUUGAGUCCGGGAGAGGUGAGUGGAACUCCGAGUGUAGAGGUGAAAUUCGUAGAUAUUCGGAAGAACACCAGUGGCGAAGGCGGCUCACUGGCCCGGUACUGACGUUGAGGUGCGAAAGCGUGGGGAGCAAACAGG